CCAGCUCCAAUAGCGUAUAUUAAAGUUGUUGCAGUUAAAAAGCUCGUAGUUGAAUUUCUAGUGCAGGCCGCUGCGUCCGCCUCACGGUGUGACACGGCGACUGCGCUCUCCUCGCCAGGAAGGCGUCGUCCUUCAUUGGGCGGCGCUGGACUGGCGUCCUUUACUGUGAAAAAAUUAGAGUGUUUAAAGCAGGCUUCUCGCUUGAAUACAUUAGCAUGGAAUAAUGAGAUAGGACUUCGGUGCUAUUUUGUUGGUUGCGUACCGAGGUAAUGAUUAAUAGGGACAGUUGGGGGUAUUCAUAUUUAACUGUCAGAGGUGAAAUUCUUGGAUUUGUUAAAGAUGAACAACUGCGAAAGCAUUUACCAAGGAUGUUUUCA
rnacentral:rRNA from 1 species